ACAGCAGUAGCCGCGGGAAUACGAAGGGUGCAAGCGUUACUCGGAAUUACUUGGCGUAAAGCGUGCGUAGGUGGUGGUUUAAGUCCGUUGUGAAAGCCCUGGGCUCAACCUGGGAAUUGCAGUGGAUACUGGGUCACUAGAGUGUGGUAGAGGAUAGUGGAAUUUCCGGUGUAGCAGUGAAAUGCGUAGAGAUCGGAAGGAACAUCUGUGGCGAAGGCGACUAUCUUGGCCAACACUGACACUGAGGCACGAAAGCGUGGGGAGCAAACAGGAUUAGAUACCCCUGUAGUCCCUGUCUCUUAUAC
rnacentral:rRNA from 1 species